rnacentral:rRNA from 1 species
UAGGGAAUCUUCGGCAAUGGACGAAAGUCUGACCGAGCAACGCCGCGUGAGUGAAGAAGGUUUUCGGAUCGUAAAACUCUGUUGUUAGAGAAGAACAAGGACGUUAGUAACUGAACGUCCCCUGACGGUAUCUAACCAGAAAGCCACGGCUAACUACGUGCCAGCAGCCGCGGUAAUACGAAGGUGGCAAGCGUUGUCCGGAUUUAUUGGGCGUAAAGCGAGCGCAGGCGGUUUCUUAAGUCUGAUGUGUAAGCCCCCGGCUCAACCGGGGAGGGUCAGUGGAAGCUGUGUGACUUUAGUGCAGAAGAGGAGAGUGGAAUUCCAGGUGUAGCGGUGAAAUGCGUAGAUAUAUGGAGGAACACCAGUGGCGAAGGCGGCUAUCUUGUCUGUAACUGACGCUGAGGCUCGAAAGCGUGGGUAGCAAACAGG